AUUGAACGCUGGCGGCAGGCCUAACACAUGCAAGUCGAACGAGUGGCGGACGGGUGAGUAAUGUCUGGGAAACUGCCCGAUGGAGGGGGAUAACUACUGGAAACGGUAGCUAAUACCGCAUACCAUCGGAUGUGCCCAGAUGGGAUUAGCUAGUUGGUGGGGUAACGGCUCACCUAGGCGACGAUCCCUAUCGGGUCUGAGAGGAUGACCAGCAACACUGGACCUGGGACACGGUCCAGACUCCUCCGGGAGGAGGCAGUGGGGAUUAUUGCACAAUGGGCGCAAGCCUGAUACAGCCAUGCGGCGGGUAUGAAGAAGGCCUUCGGGUUGUAAAGUACUUUCAGCGAGGAGGCGUUACUCGCAGAAGAAGCACCGGCUAACUCCGUGCCAGCAGCCGCGGUAAUUC
rnacentral:rRNA from 1 species